GACGAACGCUGGCGGCGUGCCUAAUACAUGCAAGUAGAACGCACAGUUUAUACCGUAGCUUGCUACACCAUAGACUGUGAGUUGCGAACGGGUGAGUAACGCGUAGGUAACCUGCCUGGUAGCGGGGGAUAACUAUUGGAAACGAUAGCUAAUACCGCAUAAUAUUGAUUAUUGCAUGAUAAUUGAUUGAAAGAUGCUAUUGCAUCACUACCAGAUGGACCUGCGUUGUAUUAGCUAGUAGGUGAGGUAACGGCUCACCUAGGCGACGAUACAUAGCCGACCUGAGAGGGGGAUCGGCCACACUGGGACUGAGACACGGCCCAGACUCCUACGGGAGGCAGCAGUAGGGAAUCUUCGGCAAUGGACGAAAGUCUGACCGAGCAACGCCGCGUGAGUGAAGAAGGGUUUCGGAUCGUAAAGCUCUGUUGUAAGAGAAGAACGGGGGUGAGAGUGGAAAGUUCACACUGUGACGGUAUCUUACCAGAAAGGGACGGCUAACUACGUG
rnacentral:rRNA from 1 species